AUACGGAGGGUGCGAGCGUUAUUCGGAAUUAUUGGGCGUAAAGCGCGUGUAGGCGGGGAUGCAAGUCUGAUGUGAAAGCCCUGGGCUUAACCUGGGAAGUGCAUUGGAAACUGCAUUUCUUGAGUACUGGAGAGGAAGGGGGAAUUCCCGGUGUAGAGGUGAAAUUCGUAGAGAUCGGGAGGAAUACCAGUGGCGUAGGCGCCUUUCUGGACGGUUACUGACGCUGAGACGCGAAAGCGUGGGGAGCAAACAGGAUUAGAUACCCUGGUAGUCCACGCUGUAAACGAUGAGCACUAGGUGUAGCGGGUACUCAUUCCUGCUGUGCCGUAGCUAACGCGUUAAGUGCUCCGCCUGGGGAUUACGGUCGCAAGACUAAAACUCAAAGGAAUUGACGGGG
rnacentral:rRNA from 1 species